UGGGGAAUAUUGCACAAUGGGCGCAAGCCUGAUGCAGCAACGCCGCGUGAACGAUGAAGGUCUUCGGAUCGUAAAGUUCUGUUGCAGGGGAAGAUAAUGACGGUACCCUGUGAGGAAGCCCCGGCUAACUACGUGCCAGCAGCCGCGGUAAUACGUAGGGGGCUAGCGUUAUCCGGAUUUACUGGGCGUAAAGGGUGCGUAGGUGGUCUUUCAAGUCGGUGGUUAAAGGCUACGGCUCAACCGUAGUUAGCCUCCGAAACUGGAAGACUUGAGUGCAGGAGAGGAAAGUGGAAUACCCAGUGUAGCGGUGAAAUGCGUAGAUAUUGGGAGGAACACCAGUAGCGAAGGCGGCUUUCUGGACUGCAACUGACACUGAGGCACGAAAGCGUGGGUAGCAAACAGG
rnacentral:rRNA from 1 species